GCCGGGUGUGGUGGUGCAUACCUGUAAUCCCAAUGACUCUGAAGGCUGAGGCAGGAGCAUUGCUAGUUUGAGGCUAGCCUGAGUGAUUUAAGCAAGACCCUGUCUCAG
rnacentral:sRNA from 1 species